UCGGGUCUUUAUCGGGUCUCAAUAACAUUGUAAUGGCCGGUAACUGGAGAGUUCUGUGGGUCUUUAUCAGGUCUCAAUAACACUGUAAUGGCCGGUAACUGGAGGGCUGUGUUGGGUCUUUAUCAGGUCUCAAUAACACUGUAAUGGCCGGUAACUGGAGGGCUGUGUUGGGUCUUUAUCAGGUCUCAAUAACACUGUAAUGGCCGGUAACUGGAGGGUUGUGUGGGUCUUUAUCAGGUUUGAAUAACACUGUAAUGACCAGUAACUGGAGGGUUGUGUUGGGUCUUUAUCAGGUCUCAAUAACACUGUAAUGGCCGGUAACUGGAGGGUUGUGUUGGGUCU